rnacentral:lncRNA from 1 species
UUGACCAAGGGAAGUGUUGUGAGGAAGAAGAUUCCACUGCUUAUUCUCUGCAACAAAACCGACAAAGUCACUGCUCACACCAAAGAAUUUAUCCGCAAACAAAUCGAGAAAGAAAUGUAUGGCUUCAAGUCCUUAAAUUUGUUUACCUUUACUCAUUUGAUCACGCAGCAACUACUUCAUCCUUUCAUUUUAUUAUAUAUGAUGCACAUUCAUUUGCUGUUGCUGUUGAUUGGCUUUUAUUGAAGAAACGUAUUAUACUUUUUUUCAACCACUCAAAUCCUUCUACCUUCUCUCAUGGCUAAUGGUCUUAACACCCAGUCAAAUG